AGUGAACGCUGGCGGUAGGCCUAACACAUGCAAGUCGAACGGCAGCACAGUAAGAGCUUGCUCUUACGGGUGGCGCGUGGCGGACGGGUGAGGAAUACAUCGGAAUCUACUUUUUCGUGGGGGAUAACGUAGGGAAACUUACGCUAAUACCGCAUACGACCUACGGGUGAAAGCAGGGGAUCUUCGUACCUUGCGCGAUUGAAUGAGCCGAUGUCGGAUUAGCUAGUUGGCGGGGUAAAGGCCCACCAAGGCGACGAUCCGUAGCUGGUCUGAGAGGAUGAUCAGCCACACUGGAACUGAGACACGGUCCAGACUCCUACGGGAGGCAGCAGUGGGGAAUAUUGGACAAUGGGCGCAAGCCUGAUCCAGCCAUACCGCGUGGGUGAAGAAGGCCUUCGGGUUGUAAAGCCCUUUUGUUGGGAAAGAAAAGCAGCAGGUUAAUACCCCGCUGUUCUGACGGUACCCAAAGAAUAAGCACCGGCUAACUUCGUG
rnacentral:rRNA from 1 species